rnacentral:lncRNA from 1 species
CCGCAAGGGCGGGAAACAAAGAGGGAAGCGCGACGCCCAGGAGAGUGGAGGGGAGGUCGACGCCUUGGAGAUGGAAAGGAUUUAAACAUGUGAUUAUUUAAAAAGCCCUUCCCUCUGGUGUUUAUAGGGUUCUGAGUGGAAGUUGAGUGAGAGGGUGCUUGCGGCUGUAGCUUGCAGCGGGAAUUCAAGAAUCGAUUUGACAUCCCCUGUUCACUUUUGCCUACUUUGUUUCUUCCGGGUGUGAGGAAAGUUCAAGAGGGGAAAAAAUAAAAGACUAGUGACAUAAUUUAAGAAAAGGAUGAUUGCAAUGCAUCCUGAAGCUGCCUAUCUCCAAAUAUUCUCUCCUAUAGGCAGGGCCAACAGGAAAAGAGUUCUGCUGCACUUUUGGAUUUUCCUCUUGAGCAAUGCUUAUGCAACUACAGCCGAGAAUUACUGCCAUGAAGCCAGUCAUCAAUGUUAUGGAACCUUCCCUCAACAUUUGAGGAGUAGUACUUCCCCUGCAUUAUAAACUUACACAAUAAAAACUUACAAAAAUAAGUUAAGAAACUCUUCUGUAAUUAAAAGAUAACUAUUUGUGGUCUUCUUUGUCACAGUUAGAGUUAAUGUUUCAUCUACUUAAUAAAGAUGAUUUAUUUUGGUGCUGUGAAAUAUGACCAUAAUAAAGAUGGUUUACUGUUGUUUCAGUAAAGGUCGAUUGAAGCGACGCCACAAUCCUUGUAAUUGUGACACUUGUUCCAGACAUUUAUUGGUUGUGACUUUCCUUUUUCUCCUCUUCUUCAUUGCCUGAGUAGCAUUUAUCUGCAGAAUAUAAGAAUCAAUAGUCAAAAUUACUUUUCACUAUCUUUAGUAACUGUUGAGAGCAGG